rnacentral:rRNA from 1 species
UACAGAGGUGGCAAGCGUUGUUCGGAAUUACUGGGCGUAAAGGGCGCGUAGGCGGCCUACUAAGUCAGACGUGAAAUCCCCCGGCUUAACCUGGGAACUGCGUCUGAUACUGGAAGGCUUGAGUAUGGGAGAGGGAUGUAGAAUUCCAGGUGUAGCGGUGAAAUGCGUAGAUAUCUGGAGGAACACCGGUGGCGAAGGCGGCGUUCUGGACUGCAUCUGACACUGAGGAACGAAAGCCAGGGGAGCAAACGGG